AUGACCCCCAGCCUGGCCAUCACCUUCCUCCUGCUGCUCCCAGAGGGUGUCUAUUCCCAGGUCAGCCUGGUGGAGUCUGGUGGGGGACUGAAGAAACCCAGAGAGACGCUCAGACUGACCUGCACCGUGUCCGGAAUCUCUCUCUCUAGCUACGGGACGCACUGGGCCCGCCAGCCAGCGGGGAAGGGGCUGGAAAGGAUGGGAGAAGUCAGCUCCCAAAUCCAGCUGCCCCAGUCUGUGGCAGAGAUCAAGAAGCCUGGAGAGUCUGUGAAGGUGACAUGUAAAACCUCUGGCUACACCUUUACAGCUGUUAGGGGAUGUGGUUCAGACCUGGGUCUGGAUAUGGAGCAGGCUAGUGCCCGCUCCCAGAUCCAGCUGGUGGAGUCCGGAGGGGAUGUGAAAAAGCCCGGAGACUCUCUCCGCCUCUCCUGCAAAGCCUCCGGCUUCACCUUCAGCAGCUACGGCAUGAGCUGGGUCCGGCAGGCUCCUGGGAAGGGGCUGGAGUGGGUGGCUAGUGUUAGCUCCCCAAGCGGAUCGAGCCAGUGGUAUGCUAAGGCUGUUGAAGGGCGAUUCACCGUCUCCAGAGACAACUCCAUCACCGCGGUGUACUUACAGAUGGGCAGCCUGAAACCCGAGGACACCGCCGUGUAUUACUGCGCCAGAGACACAGCUUCCUCCUUCUCCCAGUGA